rnacentral:other from 1 species
CGCACCCUGCCUUGCGCGAGAACUCGCCCCUUAUUCUAAUCCAACAAAAAUUGAAACGGGAGCCGGUCUCCGGUCUGCGGAGACGCAAGCCUUCAUUUAUGAAGGAGCGCGAAGCGGCCGGGCCGCCUUACCCAUCCUGUCGAAGACGGGUUUCAAUCCGGGGCUAUUCGGUAAGGCGGGGCGUUU